rnacentral:lncRNA from 1 species
CCCCCUCAUGUCGAAUCUGUCGUUGGUUUUCCUCGAAUCACCAUGGAACUCGUCGAAUCUUCAAUCGAAAGUUAAGACCAAAAACCUAACUUCUCCCAAAUAACCCAAACUAAUACCCUGAAACCCCCAUGACCCCCUCUUUCCAAAUCCCUAACCCAUAUCCCUCGAAUCUCUCUCAAUCCCUUUGAAUCUUGAAUCAAAGUUCGAAGCCCUAUAAGCCAAAUCAGUCUGCCUUCGAUUCUGUGGCUUGCAUGACCACAGGUGUCCGAGUCUUCAAGAUUUUCGAGUCUAAUUUGGCAUAAUCAGUAUUGGUCGUUUGUUCUUAACAAAGAACAAGCGACUAACACUGAUUGUGUUAAAUCAGGAGUCCAGCAUUGUGGUCGAGUCUAAUCGGUAAGCUUUCCUUGUCCUUUUCUUCUAUCCACUUUUAAUUCACGUCCUACUCCUCUUCUUUUCUUCUCCUCUUUCUUGAAGUAGACUGAAAGUCGAGCAAGUUUCUGAGCUUAGGUUUUCCCCCUAGAUUAACUUUUGUGUUCGUUUUGUCGUUCAGUUUUCUGGUCGACGUCUAAAGGUCUAUUCUCUGAUUUUGUUAAUAACAUGCUUGAACCUUUGAUUUUGCUUUAGUCUCAUAAGUUAAUUUAAUUAGUCGUCUCAAUUUAAUAACCUAACUCACCAUUUGCUUGUUUAUGUAAUUAAUCAGUCGUGUAGUUAAACUUUAAUUUUCAAACAAGUGUUUACUUUCGGCUCUUGGUAAACUCAGAAUCUAGUUAGUUCUGACUGUAUUUGGGCCUGGGGUUCAUGCCUUUAGGUUCAGGCUCAUGGUUUGGGUUGGGUUUUGAGUUAAUUCAACCCAGGGUCAACUUGACCCAUACCCGUUUGGUCUAUCUGGUUAAUUAGCAGGGGUUCAGGGGUAAUUUGGGUAGUAUAGGUAGGGGAAUUUUAUGUAACAACCUUAGUAAGCUUCCAGGAAAGGGGUUUUGGGACUGGUUUUGAAAUUCUGAAAUUUGCAUUAGGGGUAUGGGAGCUAAAACAAAAAUUAGAAAAUGUUUGAAAUGCAAAUUUCAAUACUUUUAGGCUGCCCUAAUGUCUUGCCUAUAAAGGCACUUAAACUUUAUCGGCAAGGUAGAUUUAAUAAAGAGGAAGAGGCUUGAAGAGAUAGAAAAAUUCAAAAAAAUCAGAAACGGCUGAAGAAUAUUAGAAAAACUACUGUUUCAUUGAAUUUUUCUGAGGUUCUCAACUUCUGAAGUAGUGUCUGGUUCACUAGGGGUUGAAAUGGAUUGAGCUUGAUUUUCAAAAAGUUUGGUUUUGAAGUUGUUCAGUUGAAACUGGUUUAUUCUUUACUGUUUCACAUCAUUUUCUAGGUUUGAGCUGGUUUUGCUGGGACUAAUUUCUGCUUUGUUCUACUGUUGCUGGCUACUGAUUUCUUCAUUUCUUUGGUUUCUCUUUUAUGCCUAGGUAUGUAUUGACUCUUGACUAACAUAUGAAGUGCAAAUGUGAAGCCAUGUAACCAAAUUGAAGGGAAAUGGCAAAUGCUAGCUUCUAUUGUCGAAUAACUGCUCGAAUGUGUUAUAUUUUGUCCAUGUAUCCUUAGUUUAGCUUUACUAUGUAUAUUUCGUUCAUUUUAUUAAUAUUGUAUUUCGUUAUAAGGCUUGCAUUUGUGGUUUUCUUUUGAAUGAUGUUUGGAUUCAAGAAUAUUCUUAGGCUUAGGAUGAUAUGUAUGGGUUGAGGAUUAUGACUCUUUUGGUCUGAUUUUGUUGAAGUUUUGCUGAACUUUGGAGCUGGU